rnacentral:rRNA from 1 species
UACGGAGGGUGCGAGCGUUGUCCGGAAUCACUGGGCGUAAAGGGCGCGUAGGCGGCCUGGCAAGUCGGUGGUGAAAGCCCGUGGCUCAACUACGGGUCGGCCACCGAUACUGCUAUGGCCCGAGUUUGGUAGAGGCAGAUGGGAUUCCGGGUGUAGCGGUGGAAUGCGUAGAGAUCCGGAAGAACACCGGUGGCGAAGGCGGUCUGCUGGGCAGUUGCUGACACUGAGGCGCGACAGCGUGGGGAGCAAACAGG